rnacentral:rRNA from 1 species
GUAGUCCACGCCCUAAACGAUGUCAACUAGUUGUUGGGGAUUCAUUUCCUUAGUAACGAAGCUAACGCGUGAAGUUGACCGCCUGGGGAGUACGGUCGCAAGAUUAAAACUCAAAGGAAUUGACGGGGACCCGCACAAGCGGUGGAUGAUGUGGAUUAAUUCGAUGCAACGCGAAAAACCUUACCUACCCUUGACAUGUACGGAAGUCUGCUGAGAGGUGGAUGUGCUCGAAAGAGAACCGUAACACAGGUGCUGCAUGGCUGUCGUCAGCUCGUGUCGUGAGAUGUUGGGUUAAGUCCCGCAACGAGCGCAACCCUUGUCCUUAGUUGCUACGCAAGAGCACUCUAAGGAGACUGCCGGUGACAAACCGGA